rnacentral:rRNA from 1 species
AUUGAACGCUGGCGGCAGGCCUAACACAUGCAAGUCGAGCGGAUGAAUGGAGCUUGCUCCUGGAUUCAGCGGCGGACGGGUGAGUAAUGCCUAGGAAUCUGCCUGGUAGUGGGGGAUAACGUCCGGAAACGGGCGCUAAUACCGCAUACGUCCUGAGGGAGAAAGUGGGGGAUCUUCGGACCUCACGCUAUCAGAUGAGCCUAGGUCGGAUUAGCUAGUUGGUGGGGUAAAUGCCUACCAAGGCGACGAUCCGUAACUGGUCUGAGAGGAUGAUCAGUCAGACUGGAAGUGAGACACGGUCCAGACUCCUGCGGGAGGCAGCAGUGGGGAAUAUUGGACAAUGGGCGAAAGCGUGAUCCAGCGAUGCCGCGUGUAUGAAGAAGGUCUUCGGAUUGUAAAGCACUGUAAGUUGGGAGGAAGGGCAGUAAGUUAAUACCUUGCUGUUUUGACGUUACCAACAGAAUAAGCACCGGCUAACUUCGUG